AUAAUUGUGGUGGUCUUCGUGUCACCUGCCCUGAUUCUGAGCCCCCGGAUUUUGGGGCUCACAACAGACGGUUUGAUCCAUCUGAAAAAUGUUUCGGGGAAGCUCAGCUUCAUUCAGAGGGAAUGCGACUUACGUGCGGGACAGGGAGCUGGCCUCGAAGGUUCCAACCGAGACAAAGUUCGAACUGUUCGAUCCAAGGAACACUUUACGCACCACCAAAUUCAACUAUACCUGGGACUUUGGCAACGGGGAGGUGCUGUAUGUGCACCAUAAAUACUUGUCCUCUGGAAACUACACUCUGCGGCUGAGAGUGGGGGCCCAAGUGAACAAAAGCUGUACUCCACUAACUGGGGUUUACACCAUGGACAUUACAGUGUUGGGUAGGUUGGCAGAAUACACAUCAUUUUUGUUAAGAAUGAUUUCGUUUGAAAUUGUAUUGCAUAUCUCUGCUAUUUUCCCGACCCCAUCAGAAAUAUUAAGUCGAAAGGCCCUUUGAGUUUCCAGGUUUCCAGAAACAACCGUCUGGCUAUUCAUGUCGAUGGAAGGUGGAUACAAUUUCUCAGUAGAAUUAACACCCAUACAGCACCAUAAACAUGCAUAACACAUCAAAGAAUCAACUAAUUUAUUCUCUCUUCCUCUCUUUGCUUCCCAGUCCUCCAAUGUGGGUGUGCUAUAUUCAUUCUCAUUAGCUCUCUCUCUCUUUCUUUCUCUCUCUCUCUCUCUCUCUCUCUCUCAUUCAGACUGAACCACACCUUCACGGCUUUAGGAGUCCACUGUCUUGACAUCAGUGCCUGCAAUGACAUCAGCAAACUACAGACCUCCUAGGCUGAAGCUACAGUACAGUACACACUCUCUCCUCUCACUAUGAAUACAGUAUAGACUAGUUUGAUAUAGUACAAAUGAUCCAUCUAUUAGUAUAGUGUCAAGAGGUUUUGAUCCGAAUUUACCUCUUUAGAUUUUAUGGUUCUCCUUGUAAUCUUAAAGGGAUACUAUGGGG